AGCUCUCUUUCUCUUUUGUGGCUGAAGAAAUUGUGAGGAGCAAGGUGAAGAACACAAGUUAACUUUGGAUUUUUUCUGAAAGUUGUAAACUUAGCUUGAGCAAAAUUUCUUAUUGGUGGCUUUUAGGGGAUUUACUUUUGGCAUUACUUGAAGACAUAUGAGGACAUCUUUCGUUAGUUCUAAUUAUAUUAUGCUACACUUUUUGUAUUGUUAUAAAACAUCUUGAGUUAUUGUAUGUGUUGCAAACAAUUAUUGUAUGGAAGGAGUUUGAAUUGGAUACUUGUUUUAUUUUUUACUUGUGGAAUGUAUGGAUCUUUUUUUAUAAA